rnacentral:lncRNA from 1 species
GAGGAGAGGAGAGGAGAGACUGAGCCAGGAGAGGACAGGACAGGAGAGGAGAGACGGAGCCAGGAGAGGACAGGACAGGACAGGACAGGAGAGACUGAACCAGGACAGGACAGGACAGGAGAGGACAAGACAAGACAGGACAGGACAGGAGAGGAGAGACUGAGCCAGGAGAGGACAGGACAGGAGAGGAGAGACUGAGCCAUAGUUUAUUUCCUGCAGGGCUUGGAUAGGGGUCUGCCCACUGGGCGGCAGGUUGCCUAGUGGUUAGAGUGUAGGGACGGCAGGUAGCCUAGCGGUUAGAGUGUAGGGGUGGCAGGUAGCCUAGUGUUUCGAGGUUGGGUGGGCGGCAGGUAGCCUAGUGGUUAGAGUGUGAGGGGGGGCAGGUAGCCUAGUGGUUAGAGUGUAUGGGCAGGUAGCCUAGGGGUUAGAGUGUAGGGGCGGCAGGUAGCCUAGUGGUUAGAGUGUAGGGACGGCAGGUAGCCUAGCGGUUAGAGUGUAGGGGUGGCAGGUAGCCUAGUGUUUAGAGUGUAGGGACGGCGGUUAGCCUAGUGGUUAGAGUGUAGGGGCGGCAGGUAGCCUAGUGGUUAGAGUGUAGGGGCGGCAGGUAGCCUAGUGGUUAGAGUGUAGGGGCUACAGGUAGCCUAGUGGUUAGAGUGUAGGGGCUACAGGUCGUCUAGUGGUUUGAGUGUAGGGGUGGCAGGUAUCCUAGUGGUUAGAGUAUUGGGCCAGUAACGGAAGGUUGCUAGAUCAAAUCCCCGAGCUGACAAGGUAUUUUCGCAGCUCACAUGGGACACUUAAUGCCCUGCCAGGUUGACCCUCCGACUGGACAGCUACCUCAGACACAAUCUUCAAUGCAAGGAAGCUGUAUUUCUGAAUCACUGUGGUCGAGAUGCUUGCCUUUUUUCAUCGUGUGGGCAUCUUCCUAGGGUCCUGCUGCUCCACAUCUGUACUCUCUGAUUUGCCGAAGUACGAAAAGACUCUGCUUCCCUCAUCAGUGGCUCCAUCUCUGUGGAGCGAAGCGGCAGAGACACACUGCUGCAGGGGUUGGAUCAAAGUUUACUGCCAGAGGAGUCGGUACUCCAGUGACUUCAUGAGUACCCGUUUCAACUUGUUUUGCAACAGUAGUUGACUGCAAGUGUGCCUCAAGGUUGAGAAGGCACGGGACCAACAUCCAACAGUGACUGGCUUGUCAGUAUGAAGUUGGUCGGUGGAGAUUUACUUAACGACACCAGCAACUUCACAAGCUGUUCUAGCUUAGCCCGAUUCACGUUGUCCGAUUUCUUCCCUGUUAGCUAAUGUUAGCUAGUGACGCAACACAGCUAGGCAGUUUAUGUUUACUAUAAUAGCAUUGGUGCCUGUGUGUGUGUCAGAACACAGUAUUGCCAAAUAUAUGGAAUCAUUGGUAGCCUGGAGCCAUGUUAAUACUUCAUGGUUCAUCGUUCCUGAAUAAACAGUCGAAGAGGACAUUUGUGUCAUCGUCCUGUCCCUUACUCAUCAUGUCAGAUGAUGACACGUGUUCGUCUGGCUGCUCAUUUUCAGACUUUCAACUGAAUUGUAAGUUAUGAUGGAAAAGGCCCAACUUUAGAUGAUGGCCCCCAUCAUGUCCUCAGGCCACAGGAGAGAUGGAGAGAUGCUGCGUAACCUUGAGAAAGGGAACAAUCUGACAGAAAGACACAAUCUUGGGCU